rnacentral:rRNA from 1 species
ACGAACGCCGGCGGCGUGCCUAAUACAUGCAAGUUGAGCGCUGAAGGUUGGUACUUGUACCAACUGGAUGAGCAGCGAACGGGUGAGUAACGCGUGGGGAAUCUGCCUUUGAGCGGGGGACAACAUUUGGAAACGAAUGCUAAUACCGCAUAAAAACUUUAAACACAAGUUUUAAGUUUGAAAGAUGCAAUUGCAUCACUCAAAGAUGAUCCCGCGUUGUAUUAGCUAGUUGGUGAGGUAAAGGCUCACCAAGGCGAUGAUACGUAGCCGACCUGAGAGGGUGAUCGGCCACAUUGGGACUGAGACACGGCCCAAACUCCUACGGGAGGCAGCAGUAGGGAAUCUUCGGCAAUGGACGAAAGUCUGACCGAGCAACGCCGCGUGAGUGAAGAAGGUUUUCGGAUCGUAAAACUCGGUUGGUAGAGAAGAACGUUGGUGAGAGUGGAAAGCUCAUCAAGUGACGGUAACUACCCAGAAAGGGACGGCUAACUACGUG